rnacentral:lncRNA from 1 species
AAACUCAAAACAGCAUUCCCACGAACCUUGCUACCAAAUUCCAGCUUGAUCGGAUUACAAUUUAUCCACAAGACGUCGCCCUGAAUCAGACACCUCGAAACUGUUUUCUCAUCUCUUUUCUAAUCUGUAAAUCAUAUACAUUGAUGAUGCAGUUCAUAUCUCAUUUUUCCUGUCUUCUCCCCCAAAGUUUCAGCUCUCUAUUCUUCAUGACUAACAAGAUACCCUUUUUCUUAAAAAUAAGAUCUGCAAGCUAGCCUUCAAGAUGUUACUUCACAACUUCUUCUCUUGAAGCAACUAAAAUUCUGCCUUUCUCAUCAGUUUUGAUGCAGAGUACAAAUGGAGUAGCAAAUCAACCCAGAAAAUUAUGAAAUUUGGUGGGGACAUCAACAACAGUCAUACGAAGACACAGCAAAAAGCAGAUCACGAUUCGGAUUUACGGUUUGAAAGUUACCUCCAUAUUUACAGAGCAGAUCCGGAAUGGUGCAGCCUGCGAGUAGCCAACUUUGAGGACAAUUUCCCAUAAAACAACAAAGAAUCAGACAGCGAUCUUUAUACCAUUGGAAGAUCUCGCUUUCAAGUUUUCAGAACAACUUUGAUAGCUCAAAUCCGAGGUCUGUAGCCAAAGUAACUGAAGAAGAAAGUAGCACCCAAGAAAGAAAACUGUGCUUGAAACCCAAAAUCUUCUUCUUUUCAUUAUUCUCUGAUUUCUUCACAAAGUACCAGUGACAUCUUUAAGAAUCAUAUUCCAUGGGCUUAUCACAAAAAUCCUGUGUGGCUGCAUCAGAACAAGAUCCCUUUCUCUUCGCUUUUGAACAAGAGCAAGAACACGUUCUCUGUUUUCUUCUUAUAGAGCUUUUUCUAUGAAGCUCAACAUUCUUCUCCCUCUUGUUGAUUGUGUGUCUCAAUAAGACAAGAAUUCCAAUUCACGACACAU